GAUUAACGCUGGCGGCGUGCCUAAUACAUGCAUGUCGAGCGCAGGAAGUCGACGGAACCCUUCGGGGGGAAGUCGACGGAAUGAGCGGCGGACGGGUGAGUAACACGUAAAGAACCUGCCCUCAGGUCUGGGAUAACCACGAGAAAUCGGGGCUAAUACCGGAUGGGUCAUCGGACCGCAUGGUCCGAGGAUGAAAGGCGCUCCGGCGUCGCCUGGGGAUGGCUUUGCGGUGCAUUAGCUAGUUGGUGGGGUAAUGGCCCACCAAGGCGACGAGGCAUAGCCGACCUGAGAGGGUGAUCGGCCAGACUGGGACUGAGACACGGCCCAGACUCCUACGGGAGGCAGCAGUAGGGAAUCUUCCACAAUGGACGAAAGUCUGAUGGAGCAACGCCGCGUGAACGAUGAUGACCUUCGGGUCGUAAAGUUCUGUUGUAAGGGAAGAACAAGUGCCGCAGGCAAUGGCGGCACCUUGACGGUACCUUGCGAGAAAGCCACGGCUAACUACGUGCCAGCCGCCGCGGUAACAC
rnacentral:rRNA from 1 species